GGGGAAUAUCGCGCAAUGGGGGAACCCCUGACGCAGCGACGCCGUGUGUGGGAAGAAGUCUUUCGGGUCGUAACCCUCUGUCGGGAAGGAAGAACCCCCCAGGUCCGAAUAGUGCCUGAGGCUCACGUGACUUCCAAAGUAAGCACCGGCUAACUCCGUACCAGCAGCCGCGGUAAUACGGAGGGUGCAAGCGUUAAUCGGAAUCACUGGGCGUAAAGCGCGCGUAGGCGGCUUUUUAAGUCGGACGUGAAAGCCCUCGGCUCAACCGGGGAAUUGCGUUCGAAACUGGGAGGCUUGAGUCCUGGAGAGGGUGGCGGAAUUCCGGGUGUAGGAGCGAAAUCCGUAGAUAUCCGGAGGAACACCGGUGGCGAAGGCGGCCACCUGGACAGGUACUGACGCUGAGGCGCGAAAGCGUGGGGAGCAAACA
rnacentral:rRNA from 1 species